rnacentral:rRNA from 1 species
GAUGAACGCUGGCGGCGUGCCUAAUACAUGCAAGUCGAGCGAACGGACGAGAAGCUUGCUUCUCUGAUGUUAGCGGCGGACGGGUGAGUAACACGUGGAUAACCUACCUAUAAGACUGGGAUAACUUCGGGAAACCGGAGCUGAUACCGUAUGAUAUUUUGAACCGCAUGGUUCAAAAGUGAAAGACGGUCUUGCUGUCACUUAUAGAUGGAUCCGCGCUGCAUUAGCUAGUUGGUAAGGUAACGGCUUACCAAGGCAACGAUGCAUAGCCGACCUGAGAGGGUGAGCGGCCACACUGGAACUGAGACACGGUCCAGACUCCUACGGGAGGCAGCAGUAGGGAAUCUUCCGCAAUGGGCGAAAGCCUGACGGAGCAACGCCGCGUGAGUGAUGAAGGUCUUCGGAUCGUAAAACUCUGUUAUUAGGGAAGAACAUAUGUGUAAGUAACUGUGCACAUCUUGACGGUACCUAAUCAGAAAGCCACGGCUAACUACGUG